CCGUAGCUGGUCUGAGAGGACGACCAGCCACACUGGAACUGAGACACGGUCCAGACUCCUACGGGAGGCAGCAGUGGGGAAUUUUGGACAAUGGGGGCAACCCUGAUCCAGCCAUGCCGCGUGAGUGAAGAAGGCCUUCGGGUUGUAAAGCUCUUUCAGACGGAAAGAAACGGUUACGGCUAAUACCCGUGACUAAUGACGGUACCGUCAGAAGAAGCACCGGCUAACUACGUGCCAGCAGCCGCGGUAAUACGUAGGGUGCGAGCGUUAAUCGGAAUUACUGGGCGUAAAGCGUGCGCAGGCGGUUUUGUAAGACAGACGUGAAAUCCCCGGGCUUAACCUGGGAACUGCGUUUGUGACUGCAAGACUAGAGUACGGCAGAGGGGGGUAGAAUUCCACGUGUAGCAGUGAAAUGCGUAGAUAUGUGGAGGAAUACCGAUAGCGAAGGCAGCCCCCUGGGUCGAUACUGACGCUCAUGCACGAAAGCGUGGGGAGCAAACAGGAUUAGAUACCCUGGUAGUCCACGCCCUAAACGAUGUCAACUAGGUGUUGGGGAAGGAGACUUCUUUAGUACCGCAGCUAACGCGAUAAGUUGACCGCCUGGGGAGUACGGUCGCAAGAUUAAAACUCAAAGGAAUUGACGG
rnacentral:rRNA from 1 species